rnacentral:hammerhead_ribozyme from 1 species
AUCCAGCUGACGAGUCCUGAAUAGGACGAAACGACCGUUCUGGAU